UACCAUUCCAGAUUUUGUGAUUUUGGAAUAGUUUUUCGAGUGUUUCCCGAUCUCGGCCUGUCCUCAAUUAUAUCCGUGCGUACGCAUAAUGAUUAACCAUGCGGGUCAUAUCUCAGCAUGUCUACCGGCAUUGGCAUUUCUGUUAGGCCGUAAACUACGCGUGAGCACGCAUCCAUCUCAGAAAUCACUAAAGGCCAUUACUAUCAAUUUUUACAACGAGUCCACAACCCGAGUCCUAUUGCAUCACCAUGCAGAGCCAUACCAGGAUAAUGAGAAGCUAUUGAUUACUGUGGAUCGCUGAAUGGGUAUGGGUGGGGGAUGACUAUGUUACCAUGCAGUCGAAAUAACGUGUUCUUUCCAUAGACAUGAUUAGUGACAUUUAGAGUGGGAGAAUCCAGUGGUAUUUGUGAGAUGAGAAACAGGAAUGCAAGUGGCAUUAUUCGUGUUCAGCAAGGGUAAUAAUUGAUGCUUAUCUUCAUAAAGUUUUUGUUCUUAUUGUGUUCUUGUUGUUAUAAAUUUUUUUGCACUGGCAAAUGUUUUUCUUCUCUUUGUUCUUUUUUUCUCUCUUUUUUUUUUUUUUGCUCUGAUUUCAUCAGCCAUCUGGACAGCUGGCUCAAUAUUUCCAAAACUGGGUCUGAAAAGAGGCCCUCGCGAUAAAAUUGGAUGUGUUUGUGCUGAUUGCUGUAUUUUUUUGUGGUUGUGUGAGUGUAUGUUUCCGCAUUGAGGGCUGUGUGUGUUCAACUGUUUGUGUGUAUGUUCAUCUUUGUCUUUUUGUCCUGUAUAUAUGUGUUUGUCGGUCUAUGUGACUGUGUGUGUCGGCCUGUGUGAGUGUGUGUGUGUAUGUUUGUGUCUGCGUGUGUGUGUGUGUCGGUCUGUGUGAGUGUAUGUGUGUGUGUGUGUGUGUGUGUGUGUGUGUGUGUGUGUGUGUGUCGGUCUGUGUGAGUGUAUGUGUGUCGGCCUGUGUGUGUGUGUUUGUGUGUGUGUGUGUGUGUGUGUGUGUGUGUGUGUGUUGGUUUGUGUGAGUGUCUGCUUAGGCUGAUUAGAGUUGCUCCAGGUCAAUUUAGUCUCUGCCCCCCUCCCUCCUUCUCCCCCUCAGGUCUCUUCUGAUGGAACGUUUCCUC
ensembl:lncRNA